AUGAGUGGUGUCCAGUCGGAGAUUGUUUUAACUCAACCAGAGGCAGAGAGUGGCCAUCCCGGAGCCACGCUGAGUCUGACCUGUAAAACCAGCGGCUUCGAUCUUACCAGUUACUGGAUGUACUGGGUCCGACAGGUUCCCGGACAGGGGCUGGAGUGGCUGCUGAAAUACAAAAGUUCAUCCAGCAGAAGAUCGAAGACACCGCCAUCUAUUACUGUGCAAGAUACCACAGCGAGAGGAACUAGGGCUGGACCCGUUCAAAAAACAGCUCAAGGGGACAUUUUGCCAAUUUCAUCGUUAACUGACGAAACUGUAUCUACCCCCACACUUUAUGGACUUGUCUCCUCCUGUCAGCAACACAACGCCGACGGUUCAGUGAUCUUUGGUUGUUUGGCCAUGGACUAUUCCCCUGACGUUACCAAGGUGACCUGGAAGAAAGGUGGGCAGCCAAUCACGACUGCAUUGAAGACUUAUCCAUCCGUGAGAAACAAGAAGGGAACUUACACCCUGAGCAGCCAGUUAACCCUGCCUGAGUCGGAAGCGGAUUGCAGCAAAAUCUCCUGUGAGGUUCAACACAGCGGGUCAAAGCAGAGCACUGGAAUGCCAUGUCCACUUCUCCAGCCAACUCUUCUUCUCACCGUGAGUCCCAGUGAAGAAAUCGCAAGCAGCAAGUUUGCAACCAUCGUGUGUUCAAUCAUUGAUUUCCAUCCGAAGGAAAUCUCCGUGACAUGGUUGAAAAAUGGCCAAUCCGUGGAUUCUGUUGUCUUCACAUCUCCUGUGUGUGAGGUGGAUGGGAACAUCUCGGUGAUGAGUCGGCUGACAGUCCCUUCUGGUGAAUGGUUCAACAGCGCAGUGUAUACCUGCCAGGUCACUCAUGGAGAGAACACUCAAAGUCAAAACAUCACCACACCCCAGGGAGGUAAUGAGUGCCACGAUUACACAGUUAAAAUUCUACCACCGCCAGUAGAACAGGUCUUACUGGAGGCGACGGUGACAUUAACAUGCGUUGUGUCCAAUCUUCCUUCUGGAGUCAAUGUCACCUGGAUACAAGAAAAGAAGACUCUGAAAUCAGAGAUUUCUAACCAGCCUGGAGAAGAUCCCGACAGCGUGAUCAGCAAAUUGAGCAUUUCUACUCAAACCUGGCUGAGUCACGUUAGUUUUGAAUGUGUGGUGAACCAUCCAUAUCUACCGACUCCUCUGAGAGACUCCAUCCACAAGGGAAAUGGAGAAAAGCUACUGGAGCCAUCAGUGUCUAUCCUACUGCCACCAACAGAAGACGUUUCCGCUCAGAGGUUUCUCUCCCUCACCUGUUUAGUGAGAGGCUUCUACCCCCGAGAGAUCUUCAUCAAGUGGACAAACAAUGACAAGCCAGUGAAUCCCAGUAACUACAAGAACACCGAGGUGAUGGCGGAGAGCGAGAACACCUCCUUCUUCAUGUACAGCCUGUUAUCCAUUACAGCAGAGGAGUGGGCCAGCGGUGCUUCUUACUCCUGUGUGGUGGGACAUGAAGCGAUUCCAUUGAAGAUCAUCAACAGAACAGUCGAUAAAUCCAGCGAUUCAAUAGAUCGCACUUGGAUUGAAGACUAUGAGGAUGAUAAUGGCAACAUCUGGACAACUGAUUCCACGUUCAUCACCCUGUUCUUCCUGAGUAUUUUCUACAGUGCUGCCGUCACUCUGGUGAAGGUUAAGUGAAUGAGUUGUGGACACCGUAGAUUUUCCUCAUCUAUUUAUCAAGGCUUCUGAAUUCCCAAUCUACAAUCUGUCCUGUUGCUGACUCGAACAGUGAGUUCACUUAAGUUUGUCAGUGUGUAACUGUAAUAAAUAUUGAUGGCCUUUCGCUUUCACUUUGAUAUCUUUGAGAUUAUUAUAGUUGGAAUAAUUUAUAGCUUCCCAAUUCAACUUGUUUUUUUUUUACUUGUUCCUUAUUCAGAAUGGUUGCCUCCCUUAUAUGUUGAGCCCUUGUAUUCUCUUUCUGGCGAAUGUUACAGAUGUACAUAAAAUUCACGGCUCAUAGUGCAUGCAAUCUCGUCUCAAUGUAGCAUCCAGUCAAUAUAUUCACUUCUAUUAACUUUAACAUAAGCUUUUCGAUUAAAAUGCUUCUGAAAUGGUUAAUAAAUCUUGAAUGAAAUGCACUAACUUUGAGUUUGCUUGA